rnacentral:sRNA from 1 species
UACGUCUAUGCAUAGGCAAACGUGGUAGU